rnacentral:rRNA from 1 species
GAUUAAUACAAGCUGUCAUCAUGAGUCCGCAUGUUCACAUGAUUAAAGGUAUUCCGGUAGACGAUGGGGAUGCGUUCCAUUAGAUAGUAGGCGGGGUAACGGCCCACCUAGUCUUCGAUGGAUAGGGGUUCUGAGAGGAAGGUCCCCCACAUUGGAACUGAGACACGGUCCAAACUCCUACGGGAGGCAGCAGUGAGGAAUAUUGGUCAAUGGGCGAGAGCCUGAACCAGCCAAGUAGCGUGAAGGAUGACUGCCCUAUGGGUUGUAAACUUCUUUUAUAAAGGAAUAAAGUCGGGUAUGGAUACCCGUUUGCAUGUACUUUAUGAAUAAGGAUCGGCUAACUCCGUGCCAGCAGCCGCGGUAAUACGGAGGAUCCGAGCGUUAUCCGGAUUUAUUGGGUUUAAAGGGAGCGUAGAUGGAUGUUUAAGUCAGUUGUGAAAGUUUGCGGCUCAACCGUAAAAUUGCAGUUGAUACUGGAUAUCUUGAGUGCAGUUGAGGCAGGCGGAAUUCGUGGUGUAGCGGUGAAAUGCUUAGAUAUCACGAAGAACUCCGAUUGCGAAGGCAGCCUGCUAAGCUGCAACUGACAUUGAGGCUCGAAAGUGUGGGUAUCAAACAGGAUUAGAUACCCUGGUAGUCCACACGGUAAACGAUGAAAUACUCGCUGUUUGCGAUAUACUGCAAGCGGCCAAGCGAAAGGCGUUAAGUAUUCCACCUGGGGAGUACGCCGGCACCGGUGAAACUCAAAGGGGAAAUUGACGGGGGCCCGCACAAGCGGAGGGAACAUGUGGGUUUAUUUCGAUGAUUACGCGAGGAACCUUACCCGGGCUUUAAAUUGCAGAUGAAUUACGUGAAAGCCCGUAAGCCGCAAGGCAUCUGUGAAGGUGCUGCAUGGUUGUCGUCAGCUCGUGCCGUGAGUGUCGGGCUUAAGUGCCAUAACGAGCGCAACCCUUGUUGUCAGUUACUAACAGGUUCCGCUGAGGACUCUGACAAGACUGCCAUCGUAAGAUGUGAGGAAGGUGGGGAUGACGUCAAAUCAGCACGGCCCUUACGUCCGGGGCUACACACGUGUUACAAUGGGGGGUACAGAGGGCCGCUACCACGCGAGUGGAUGCCAAUCCCCAAAACCUCUCUCAGUUCGGACUGGAGUCUGCAACCCGACUCCACGAAGCUGGAUUCGCUAGUAAUCGCGCAUCAGCCACGGCGCGGUGAAUACGUUCCCGGGCCUUGUACACACCGCC